UUGUCCUACGGGAGGCAGCAGUAGGGAAUAUUGCUCAAUGGGGGAAACCCUGAAGCAGCAACGCCGCGUGGAGGAUGAAGGUUUUAGGAUUGUAAACUCCUUUUGUAAGAGAAGAUUAUGACGGUAUCUUACGAAUAAGCACCGGCUAACUCCGUGCCAGCAGCCGCGGUAAUACGGAGGGUGCAAGCGUUACUCGGAAUCACUGGGCGUAAAGGGCGCGUAGGCGGUCUAAUAAGUCAGUGGUGAAAACUGAGGGCUCAACCCUCAGCCUGCCACUGAUACUGUU
rnacentral:rRNA from 1 species